rnacentral:rRNA from 1 species
AAUCGAAGCAACGCGAAGAACCUUACCAGGUCUUGACAUCCCCUGACAACCCGAGAGAUCCGGGCGUUCCCCUUCGGGGGGACAGGGUGACAGGUGGUGCAUGGUUGUCGUCAGCUCGUGUCGUGAGAUGUUGGGUUAAGUCCCGCAACGAGCGCAACCCUCGACCUUAGUUGCCAGCAUUCAGUUGGGCACUCUAAGGUGACUGCCGGCUAAAAGUCGGAGGAAGGUGGGGAUGACGUCAAAUCAUCAUGCCCCUUAUGACCUGGGCUACACACGUGCUACAAUGGGCGGUACAAAGAGCAGCUAACUCGCGAGAGUAUGCAAAUCUCAAAAAGCCAUCCUCAGUUCGGAUUGGAGUCUGCAACUCGACUCCAUGAAGUUGGAAUCGCUAGUAAUCGCGGAUCAGCAUGCCGCGGUGAAUACGUUCCCGGGCCUU